CAUGAUUGUUUAGAUACAAAUAUUUAAAGAGUUUGGAACAGAGAAUUAUUUUCAAAUGAAAAUUUAAGCGUAAAAAAAUAUAAGGACUCGUAUACUGUAUGAAUCUUUAUGCACUUAGAAUUUAUAAGCUGAAUAUUUGAGAGCUUAUUAAUUGGAAAGUUUCUAAUUAAUUUUAGGGAUUUUUC
rnacentral:sRNA from 1 species